AUAGAGGAUUCUAUUUUUCCUCGGAUUCGAAUGACAUUCUAUGCUUUGCCUAGUUGAGACUUCCUAUAAAAGAGUGUAAACUAUUAGAGUUCUGCAUCGUACUGAAUUUCUGUCACAAGUUCGUUCCGAGAAGUCAGGAUUGGGAGUUUGAAAGGUCAUUCAGGGUUUGAGGCUGGUAAGGGGGGUCAUUUCAUCUAGUCCAUCCUUGCCACCGGCUUCCUUAUCAGAUGAAUCUGCCACUUGCUAUGUCCGAGUUAGUAAAAUUAAUUUCUCUGUCUGCCUUGAUGUUCCACUAUGCUACAGACCCAAGAUGCUUGCAAGAAUUCCUGGUGUUUCUAGAGGGCAGUCUUCUAGUGCCGUGCUUAUGGCAGGGGUGAAGAGGCCCUUAAUAAGGAAGAGCUUAAACCAUCAGACCAUAACGUGCCGCCACUUUACGGUGAGUAUGGCUUUCACCUUAAAGUGGCUGCACGUUCUGACUGCUUAUGGCAGGUUUUCAACGAGUUCAACAUAGAGAGAUGGUGAAGGGAGAAGCGAGUCUUUGGCUAAGGAUGUAUUUACUGGUCACAGUGGCAAACAGAAGAUCCUUGCUCGGGAGCUACACAAGGACCUCACAAAUAAAGGUGUGUCCUGUUUCUUUGAUGAGGAUCCUCUAAGCUUGCCAAUAGCUGAAAAAUUCCCUCCCCGCAUUUUUGAAGCCGCUGAGAAAUGCAGAGUAGCGGUAUUGGUUCUCUCAAAGGAUUUCAGCCACUCAAAGUGGCCAAUGCUGGAACUUUCCGCUUUCCUCAAAGCUAAAAUUUCUGGCAAAAAUCCAAACAUGAAGAUACUACCCUUGUUCUUCAUGAUAUCACCAAAGUCCCUUUCUGAAAUUACAGAGGACAACCAAGUAUGGAAAGACUUGGGGAUAGUUGAUGAGACUCGAGCUGAAUGGCAUAGGGCUUUAAGAGAAAUAAGGUCAAUUAAGGGUUUGGAGUUCAAAGAAGCUGAGGAUAUGGUGCAUUUCCGAGAUGAAGUUGUAAAAGCCAUCUGCUCCCUACUACUUUCACACUCACCUGAUUCUAAUCAAGGGCAGACACGUCAAGACCAGGUGUUGGAUGGGUUAGCAGACAUCCCAACAACACUUCUUCAGCCUCAUCUUCAACAAAUGUUACGGACAUUGUUCUACAGCAACAUUGUAUUUUCUAUGGACCUGUUAAAUCUUCAAUGUAGAUCACCCAUCAGCAUGCUGUGAUGCCCAAACACUGAACUACAGGCCCUUUUCCACUGAAAGUGAAGACUGUUCUUACAAGAGAGUUAUGGGUCUUGAAAUUGUGAUACAUUUAUUUGCCUCCAAGCAAUUCGCUGUUCAGUUCUGGUUUUCUUCUCAACUCUUAUCUGCUGCUCAUAUCUGCAUCAACCAAAAAACAUGAUUUGCAGCUACGCCAAAACUUGCAGGUAUCAAUGAACUUCCAAAUCAGCAUCUUAACCUAGAUCUAGAAUGACGAUUACUCCAUAAGAUCAACUGUCAGAGAUGCGGCAGUUAAUCUAAAGAAAAGAGAGCUGCAUGCAGAAGUCUCAGCUAAACGAUCUUCUGUUCUACAGUAAUAUGGAUUCGCCUAAUGAAAUAAUUAGAUUCCAACCACGAAAGCAAUGCUCCAGAUUUUCAUCCUGUGUAUCUGCCUGAUGAGGAUGCCUCAAUAGGAACGAUGCCAAUUCAAGUGUCUUGACUAAGCAUUUCACCCUACAAUGGACUUAUCUUCACACUACUACAAGCGCUUCAGUGCUUGAUUCUUUAUUUUAUUUAUAAGCCAGUAUUUUUUUCAAUAAAUUUCAUUUGUUUGCCAUUUUUUAACAUUCUCUAAGCAGAAUUUUUAUAUGAUUCUUGCCAGCAGUUUAAAUGCCUUGUUUAUUCUAAAACAUUCUCUAAGCUUUAAACAGUCAAGGCUGGAUUUAAACAGAAGUGGAACAAGAAAUAUGUUAAAAUAAUUAAAACCUUAUUGAUCUGAAUUGAAAGCUGAAAUGCAUCUUGUGACCUGGAUUUCUGUCCUUUUGAAAUGCUAUUACAUGGCAGUCACAUUCUAUGCUGUCUAAUAUCCAGUAUUUGCAUAAACCUUUUGACAGUGGAUUUUUAUGUGGUCAUCAUGGCAUGCUAAGGCUUUACUUCACCAUCCAAUUUCCCAUGUAUAUGGAUUUAGUGGUAGGAACCUAUUGUGUCUGAACUUAUUAUGAUAUGGUUGCCUUCAGAAUAGUUGAAUUGGCAGAGCAAGCCUUGUAAAUUAAAUCUAU